rnacentral:rRNA from 1 species
CUUGCUACUUUGCUGACACGGCGGACGGGUGAGUAAUGCUUGGGAACAUGCCUUGAGGUGGGGGACAACACGUAUGGAAACGACUGCUAAUACCGCAUAAUGUCUACGGACCAAAGGGGGCUUCGGCUCUCGCCUUUAAUUGGCCCAAGUGGGAUUAGCUAGUUGGUGAGGUAAUGGCUCACCAAGGCGACGAUCCCUAGCUGGUUUGAGAGGAUGAUCAGCCACACUGGGACUGAGACACGGCCCAGACUCCUACGGGAGGCAGCAGUGGGGAAUAUUGCACAAUGGGCGCAAGCCUGAUGCAGCCAUGCCGCGUGUGUGAAGAAGGCCUUCGGGUUGUAAAGCACUUUCAGUCAGGAGGAAAGGUUAACGGUUAAUACCCGUUAGCUGUGACGUUACUGACAGAAGAAGCACCGGCUAACUCCGUGCCAGCAGCCGCGGUAAUACGGAGGGUGCGAGCGUUAAUCGGAAUUACUGGGCGUAAAGCGUACGCAGGCGGUUUGUUAAGCGAGAUGUGAAAAGCCCCCGGGCCUCAACCUGGGAACUGGCAUUUCGAAACUGGCAAAACUAAGAGGUGAUAGAGGUGUAGAAUUUCAAGGAACCGGUGAAAUGCCGUAGAGAUCUGAAGGAAUACCGAUGGCGAAGGCAGCCACCCUGGGUCAACACUGACGCUCAUGUACGAAAGCGUGGGGAGCAAACGGGAUUAGAUACCCCGGUAGUCCACGCCGUAAACGAUGUUAUAGAAGCUCGGAGCCUCGGUUCUGUUUUUCAAAGCUAACGCAUUAAGUAGACCGCCUGGGGAGUACGGCCGCAAGGUUAAAACUCAAAUGAAUUGACGGGGGCCCGCACAAGCGGUGGAGCAUGUGGUUUAAUUCGAUGCAACGCGAAGAACCUUACCUACACUUGACAUACAGAGAACUACC